UUACGGCCAUAUCGUGUUGAAACACCGGUUCUCGUAUGAUCACCGAAAUUAAGCAACGUCAAUUCUGGUCAGUACCUAAAUGGGUGACCGUUUGGGAAUACCAGGUGCUGUCAG